ACUCUGUAUUUCAUUAUGAACUCUAUGUGCUUUACUGGACAGGAGCAAGAUGUGACUCAUUGCUCUGAGAUGUCAAUCUUCAUCAGCCUUACUAUUUUUGAGGCCUUCUCCUAUUUUGUGCAUGACUCCUAGCAAGUGUGGAUUUACAGACUUCAGAAAUAUAGAACAGUACUGGCAACUACACAACGUUGUUACAACAGUUGGUGGUCUUGAAGAAGAGGAAGGUUGCAAUAAGCAUGCACUACUCUUGCAAGAAAUCUGGAACAAAACAUUUGCUAUAUGGAAAGAGUAAGCCACAGCUGCAGCUUCUAGUGUUCCUGCACAAGGUGAGCUCACAAGAAAAAGGGACAAAAAGUACUAUGAGCGGAGAUUACUCCAGGAUUGAGAAAAACACAAGUUUGCUGUCUCUCUUACAAGACUGGAGGUUGUACUUUUUCUUCUACAUCAGUGUCUGCAGGCCUAAUUCCAAAUAAAGACAAGGCCUUUGUGUCUUUGCAGAUGACAACAUGUAAAUAAAAUCGUAGUUUA